rnacentral:rRNA from 1 species
GACGAACCGUGCGAACGUUAUUCGGAAUCACUGGGCUUAAAGCGCGUGUAGGUGGGCCGCCCCGUCGGCUGCUGAAAUCCCCCGGCUCAACCGGGGAAGUGGCACCGAUACGAGCGGCCUCGAGGGGGGUAGGGGGGUCUGGAACUUCCGGUGGAGCGGUGAAAUGCGUUGAGAUCGGAAGGAACGCCCGUGGCGAAAGCGAGGCCCUGGACCCUUACUGACGCUGAGACGCGAAAGCCAGGGGAGCAAACGGG